rnacentral:rRNA from 1 species
UGCAAGUCGAACGGCAGCGCGGGGCAACCUGGCGGCGAGUGGCGAACGGGUGAGUAAUAUAUCGGAACAUACCCUAGAGUGGGGGAUAACGUAGCGAAAGUUACGCUAAUACCGCAUACGCACUAAGGUGGAAAGUGGGGGAUCGCAAGACCUCAUGCUCAUGGAGUGGCCGAUAUCUGAUUAGCUAGUUGGUGAGGUAAAGGCUCACCAAGGCGACGAUCAGUAGCUGGUCUGAGAGGACGACCAGCCACACUGGAACUGAGACACGGUCCAGACUCCUACGGGAGGCAGCAGUGGGGAAUUUUGGACAAUGGGGGCAACCCUGAUCCAGCAAUGCCGCGUGAGUGAAGAAGGCCUUCGGGUUGUAAAGCUCUUUUGUCAGGGAAGAAACGGUGGUCUCUAAUAUAGACUGCUAAUGACGGUACCUGAAGAAUAAGCACCGGCUAACUACGUGCCAGCAGCCGCGGUAAUACGUAGGGUGCAAGCGUUAAUCGGAAUUACUGGGCGUAAAGCGUGCGCAGGCGGUUAUAUAAGUCAGAUGUGAAAUCCCCGGGCUCAACCUGGGAACUGCAUUUGAGACUGUAUGGCUAGAGUGUGUCAGAGGGGGGUAGAAUUCCACGUGUAGCAGUGAAAUGCGUAGAUAUGUGGAGGAAUACCGAUGGCGAAGGCAGCCCCCUGGGAUAACACUGACGCUCAUGCACGAAAGCGUGGGGAGCAAACUAGGAUUAGAUACCCUGGUAGUCCWCGCCCUAAACGAUGUCUACUAGUUGUCGGGUCUUAAUUGACUUGGUAACGCAGCUAACGCGU